CUCCUACGGGAGGCUGCAGUAGGGAAUUUUCCGCAAUGCACGAAAGUGUGACGGAGCGACGCCGCGUGUGUGAUGAAGGCUUUCGGGUCGUAAAGCACUGUUGUAAGGGAAGAAUAACUGAAUUCAGAGAAAGUUUUCAGCUUGACGGUACCUUACCAGAAAGGGAUGGCUAAAUACGUGCCAGCAGCCGCGGUAAUACGUAUGUCCCGAGCGUUAUCCGGAUUUAUUGGGCGUAAAGCGAGCGCAGACGGUUUAUUAAGUCUGAUGUGAAAUCCCGAGGCCCAACCUCGGAACUGCAUUGGAAACUGAUUUAUUUGAGUGCGAUAGAGGCAAGUGGAACUCCAUGUGUAGCGGUGAAAUGCGUAGAUAUGUGGAAGAACACCAGUGGCGAAAGCGGCUUGCUAGAUCGUAACUGACGUUGAGGCUCGAAAGUAUGGGUAGCAAACGGGAUUAGAUACCCCGGUAGUCCAUACCGUAAACGAUGGGUGCUAGUUGUUAAGAGGUUUCCGCCUCCUAGUGACGUAGCAAACGCAUUAAGCACCCCGCCUGAGGAGUACGGCCGCAAGGCUAAAACUUAAAGGAAUUGACGGGGACCCGCACAAGCGGUGGAGCAUGUGGUUUAAUUCGAAGAUACGCGAAAAACCUUACCAGGUCUUGACAUACCAAUGAUCGCUUUUGUAAUGAAAGCUUUUCUUCGGAACAUUGGAUACAGGUGGUGCAUGGUCGUCGUCAGUUCGUGUCGUGAGAUGUUGGGUUAAGUCCCGCAACGAGCGUAACCCUUGUUAUUAGUUGCCAGCAUUUAGUUGGGCACUCUAAUGAGACUGCCGGUGAUAAA
rnacentral:rRNA from 1 species